rnacentral:rRNA from 1 species
UACGAAGGGGGCUAGCGUUGCUCGGAAUCACUGGGCGUAAAGGGUUCGUAGGCGGUGCGGCAAGUUGGGAGUGAAAUCUCUGGGCUUAACCCAGAGGCUGCUUCCAAAACUGCUGUGCUUGAGUGUGGGAGAGGCGCGUGGAAUUGCAGGUGUAGCGGUGAAAUGCGUAGAUAUCUGCAGGAACACCCGUGGCGAAAGCGGCGCGCUGGACCACUACUGACGCUGAGGAACGAAAGCUAGGGGAGCAAACAGG